UUAUUAUCUGUGUCGCGUGGUCAGUGUUGCCAGAUUUUGAAACUGUAACGUUCGUACAGUCUUAUCAAAAAAGUUCAUUUUUCUCGUUCAAACAUACUAUAAUAUAUGUGAAAAUUUGGUUGACAGCUUCAGUGGUUUUAUUUCGCACAAAAAAGUUUUUGAUAAUAUUAUGUUGUACGUUUGUGAGACGGAGACCGGGAGACAGCACAUGCGGGUGUAGCAUCCUCUUAAACCCAUGAUUAUAGACCUAUAGUGCACAGCGCUUAGAGAAAGAAACCAUUGGUGGAGGCAAAUACUGGGAGUUGGGACUGGGAAGAAACUGGUAAGGCUCAGGCUGGUUACCUACUCCGAAUGUUAAAAACGCAUUUAACACAGCUUCAUAGCCGAAAAUCAUUGAGUCCUCGGUGAGGAAAAGCUUACCAGAAUAUCUGAAGUAAAGAUAUUAAAAUUAUACUUACACAACCGAAAACUAAGGCUGGAGAAGAAGACAUCAAAUACGACAAGUGUCACAUCAUGCGGAGUAUCGCAGGGAUCGGCCCUAGGACUGGACUCGUGGAACUUUUUGUACGAUAGCCUAUUGAGGAUGAAAUUGCCAUUAUGUGUUCCAGUGGCGAGCACAUGUGGUGGGGGUUUGGGUGUUCAACCCUGCCACCAUGGUAUUUUUUUCACUCUAUGUACGUAAUUACUUAAAAAUAUGACCCACCCCACAUUUUUUUUAAAAAUUAUAGUCGGUUAAAUCAUAACAUCUAAUCGACGUACAAUUUGUCGAAUUAAAAUUAAUUUCAAUUUCAGAACAAUUAAUAGGCAUUUUUCGAAUAAU